rnacentral:rRNA from 1 species
CAGCCAUGCCGCGUGAGUGAUGAAGGCCUUAGGGUCGUAAAGCUCUUUCGCCUGUGAUGAUAAUGACAGUAGCAGGUAAAGAAACCCCGGCUAACUCCGUGCCAGCAGCCGCGGUAAUACGGAGGGGGUUAGCGUUGUUCGGAAUUACUGGGCGUAAAGCGCGCGUAGGCGGAUUAGUCAGUUAGAGGUGAAAUCCCAGGGCUCAACCCUGGAACUGCCUUUAAUACUGCUAGUCUUGAGUUCGAGAGAGGUGAGUGGAAUUCCGAGUGUAGAGGUGAAAUUCGUAGAUAUUCGGAGGAACACCAGUGGCGAAGGCGGCUCACUGGCUCGAUACUGACGCUGAGGUGCGAAAGUGUGGGGAGCAAACAGGAUUAGAUACCCUGGUAGUCCACACCGUAAACGAUGAAUGCCAGUCGUCGGCAAGCAUGCUUGUCGGUGACACACCUAACGGAUUAAGCAUUCCGCCUGG